GGGCUGUUAGCUCAGUUGGUAGAGCGCUUCGUUUACACCGAAGAUGUCGGCGGUUCGAGUCCGUCACGGCCCACCA
rnacentral:tRNA from 2 species